GACGAACGCUGGCGGCGUGCUUAACACAUGCAAGUCGAGCGAGGCCCCUCCUUCGGGUGGGUGUCCUAGCGGCGAACGGGUGAGUAAGACGUGGGCAACCUGCCCUCAGCUCUGGGAUAGCUCCGGGAAACCGGGGCUAAUACCGGAUACGACCUCCACGGGCAUCUGCGGAGGAGGAAAGUUUUUCGGCUGAGGAUGGGCCCGGGGCCUAUCAGCUAGUUGGUGGGGUAGUGGCCCACCCAGGGAGCGACGGGAAGCCGGCCUGUGGGGGCGAACGGCCACGCCGCGAACGGGAGGCAGCAGAGGCGCCUAGGGGAGAAAGGGGUGGAGAAUAUUGCGCACUGAGCGAAUGCGUGAAGCAGCGACGCCGCGUGAGGAACGCAGGUCUUGGGAUUGAAAAGCUCUUUCAGCAGACACGGAGGGAAUGUGACGAUACCAACAAAAGACGCAGCCGCCAUUUGCG
rnacentral:rRNA from 1 species